rnacentral:tmRNA from 1 species
GGGGGCGAAACGGCUUCGACGUCGAUCUCAAACCCUGCGGUGCAUGUCGAGAGGGUAGUGACUCUCGUAAAACAAUCGCUGUAACUUUUUUUAGUUGCCAACGACGAUAGCUACGCUCUAGCAGCUUAGGCUUGCUAGCUCCUGACCAGAUCUGUGCUUGUGCAUCUGGACCCAGGAGUCGACUCUCACAAGACCGCAGUGAUGCUCUUUUUGGUAGUUAUCACUGUUAAAACUUUACCGGAAUCGCUUUAGGUAGCCCUGACUGUCGGGACGCUUAAGGUUAAAUUAAAGACAGCCUAAACAUGUAGAUCCGAAGGUCGCGAAUUGGCGGACGGGGGUUCAACUCCCCCCGCCUCCACCA